UAACUUUUGGUGUAAAGCACAAAAAAUUUUGAUUUUUUAGGAAAUAAUUUUAUUUUAUUAAAGUUAA
rnacentral:tRNA from 1 species